rnacentral:lncRNA from 1 species
GGUAAUUAUUAACAGCAAUAAUCCCCAUAUGACAACAGUUUCAGUCCCCCACAGGAAGGUAUUUCAUUCUCUUCCUCCCCAUGUCCAUUCAGUCGCUGCAAGAGUGAGGUAGCUAUAUCAACAUCAUGGAGAAAGAGCAUAUUUUGUAGUAUGAGCCAUAUGAAUUGACCUGUAGAUGUCACAUUGUCCUCUCACUCAGUCGGGCGACAGAGAGGGGAUGUAAGCUACAGUUUAAUAGAGCGGUCGGAGAGAUUAGUUCAAGGGACAUGUGGGUCAUUGAGAACGGGCGAGGGCCAGAGCCUUGCUGGGGGAACAGACUGGACAGAGAACAGCAGCACCAGAAUAACCAUCCUACCAGGCUCCUGGCCCGGCCCAGACAUCCAGUCAACACCAUCACCUGGCAACAUGGCUCCUGCUCAGCACUCCACCAGGACAGGGCACCUUGUUAUCUGUCCUUUGUCAGUAAGGCCAUCUUGUGGGAUCGAGGACUCUACCACUACACAGACCACACUGUCCGUGAUGGACGUCCUUCUCUGUGUCCUCGUUUCCUGGUUCACAUGAAGGCCUGUCCUGCAGACCUCAGAACCCCACAUCUCCUAUCCAAUAACCCCAGGCCACGUCCUCCUCGCCAGGAAUUGACACAACAAAGACACGCCCUUGGCGGCCUGAAGACGCAUUCAUGUGCAGACUCCAGGAGCCUGCAGCACUGCAGCACCACCAGAGGGAGGCGCUUAGCUGUUGUUGUUCCCUGUGUACCAGUGCCAGUCUCCCCCUCUCCCAGCAGAGCCUCCCCUGAGCUCUCAGUCUGUCCAAGUCCAACAUCCUCUACUGUCACUGACUCUGGGCAGCAGGGGACUGGAUACAACCCUGCUCCAUCAUCAGCCCUACCUCAUGGCCAUACUCAGAAAGGAGAGAAGGAAACAGAGGAUGGUGUUAAAGAGAUGGAUGAAGGCACUUCGGCUUCCUCAGGGGCCUUCCGCCCUCCAAGGCCAGACCAGGAGCCCAAUUCUGGUCCUGAGGACAUAGACCCCUCAGUUUCUCCAAUCCCUAGUGUCUGUGAGGGUUCUCUCUCAGACUUUAGCCGCCCACCAUCCAGCCAGUUCAGCCGAAGCACAGACCUGGGUAGUGGCCGGAGCAGUCCUCUAUGUGCGAAUCUGAGUGACCUGGACUCAGAGGGUGGCUCUCCUCUCUCCCAGCAUGGCUCCUCUUCCAUGUCCCUGUCUGCUCUGGCCUCCUGCACCCCACAGGACCCCCCAGCACACCAGCCCCCAAACCCAGCCCCUCACCACCCUCAAUACCAUCCCCUCCCUCACCAGGCCCAACACUGCCCACCUGACUGGACCACCACGGAGCCCCAGCCAGGCCAUGUCCUCCCACCCUACCCAGACCCAUCCCUGGACCCCAACCUAGACCCUACAACCCUAGCUUUCCCCUCAGACACCUGGCAGUCCUGCCCCAGCCCACAGUGCAAGAUAACUACCCGACCAGGGUCAGGGUUAGGGUCAGGUUUGACCUCAUCCCCUGUGGUGGUGGAGAGGCAGGACUGGACAUCACACCGCUGGUCCGUCCUUCCCCCCAUCUCUCCAGUCAGAGGUGGCAGUGACACAGUGUCCUCCUGGUCCCGCUGUUCUCAGGUCAGCUCUAGCCAGUCCCAUGUGUUUGAUGAACUGGAGGCCAUCGCCCCGCGGACCGGCUCCUGUCUGUCCCUAGACCAGCCACUCAGCCCAGCAGACUGCAGCCCACCUGGUACAGAGAUGUCCCCAGGCCUGGCUGCUCUGACAGUGGGCUGUGACUCAGGGGACCUGGGCUCCCUGUCCCGUGUGCAGCUCCUGCUCCUGGACCGGUCGGACCCUGUGGAGCCCCACUGGCUCGCUGGUCAGGACAUGUACUCCCCAACAGAAGACGGAACAACAGGCCACACAGCGGCGCUCCGAGCCAGAAGACCUCUGAGUCCAACGCUGUAUACUACAGGCGUCCUGCAGCCCCUCACAGCUGGCAGCUGUGGAGACGGCAGUGUGUCUGAGAGGUGUGUCGCCACAGGCAAAGUCCAGGGACAGGGUGAGCACACAAUGCAGUCCCACAACGAGGAUGGUUCCAGGUCACCAUCGUCAUGGAUCAGUGAUUCCAGUCCAUCAGGCACCAUAUCCGGGUCCACCAGUUCCCAAUGCGAGUCCUGCUGUGGCCCCAGCCCAGACCAGGGGGUUCCAGUGAAGGAGGAGCCUGGUUGCCCUGAUUGGGGGGAGCGAGGCUGGGCUUCCACAGGGGCCAGGAGAAGGCCAGGGAGGCUGGAGCGCAGGAUUAGGGAGAAGGAGCGAAAAAGGGAGGAGAGAAAGACAAAGGUGCUAAACAUCUACUCCAGACUCCAGGACAGCGGGCCCCUCCAGCCCAGCCGCAACAGGGGCCGCUCCAGGUUUGAGGACUUCGACUUCUUGGCAAAGUAUUGCAUUUUCAGCCAGGAGAAGCUGGCAGAAUACAAAAGGGCUUUUGAAGCGGUUGACAGUGAUGCUGAUGGUUACAUUUCCUGCCUGCAAGUGCUGCUGGCACUAAAGAAGAUCAUCCCUCCAGAGCUGCUAACUGAUGAAGAAGAGAUAUAUGUCUACAGGAUCCUGGAGAUGGUGGAUUUCAGGGUGACAGAUGGACUUACAGACCUGAGGCUCUUUGCUGUGAUUGCGAGCCUGGCGCAGAAAAUAGCUACCAUGGAUGUAUUUAUGCGUUCCCUGAUAAGCAAAAUGGACUUCCAUUCUUUGGCAUUAAAGCUAUACAAAGCAAAGCAGCUGUUCAUGUUCCUGCUGGAGGGGCAGUCAGGGGGCGCUGUGGCCCAGCAGGGCUGUAUCAGCGCAGAGCAGCUCCUAGUGGAGCUCAAGGCCGGGGGCAUCCGACCAGAACAAGAGGAAGCCAUCAAACAGGAGCUCCGACACAUCAGCUCCCUGGACCUGCUGGACUUCCUGGCGUACCUGCCCCUCUUCGUCCUAAUCCACAACUCAGUCAUCGCCAACCCACUGGAUGACUCCAGCAACCUGUGA